rnacentral:rRNA from 1 species
UACGAAGGUGUCAAACGUUGUCCGGAAUAACUGGGCGUAAAGGGCGCGUAGGCGGUCGGGUAAGUGAGAUGUGAAAUCCUGGAGCUCAACUCCAGAACUGCCUUUGAUACUGAAGAUCUUGAGUCCGGGAGAGGUGAGUGGAACUGCGAGUGUAGAGGUGAAAUUCGUAGAUAUUCGCAAGAACACCAGUGGCGAAGGCGGCUCACUGGCCCGGUACUGACGCUGAGGCACGAAAGCGUGGGGAGCAAACAGG